AUGAACGCUAGCUACAGGCUUAACACAUGCAAGUCGAGGGGCAGCAUGAACUUAGCUUGCUAAGUUUGAUGGCGACCGGCGCACGGGUGAGUAACACGUAUCCAACCUGCCGAUGACUCGGGGAUAGCCUUUCGAAAGAAAGAUUAAUACCCGAUGGCAUAGUUCUUCCGCAUGGUAGAACUAUUAAAGAAUUUCGGUCAUCGAUGGGGAUGCGUUCCAUUAGGUUGUUGGCGGGGUAACGGCCCACCAAGCCUUCGAUGGAUAGGGGUUCUGAGAGGAAGGUCCCCCACAUUGGAACUGAGACACGGUCCAAACUCCUACGGGAGGCAGCAGUGAGGAAUAUUGGUCAAUGGACGAGAGUCUGAACCAGCCAAGUAGCGUGAAGGAUGACUGCCCUAUGGGUUGUAAACUUCUUUUAUACGGGAAUAAAGUGAGGCACGUGUGCCUUUUUGUAUGUACCGUAUGAAUAAGGAUCGGCUAACUCCGUGCCAGCAGCCGCGGUAAUACGGAGGAUCCGAGCGUUAUCCGGAUUUAUUGGGUUUAAAGGGAGCGUAGGCGGACGCUUAAGUCAGUUGUGAAAGUUUGCGGCUCAACCGUAAAAUUGCAGUUGAUACUGGGUGUCUUGAGUACAGUAGAGGCAGGCGGAAUUCGUGGUGUAGCGGUGAAAUGCUUAGAUAUCACGAAGAACUCCGAUUGCGAAGGCAGCCUGCUGGACUGUAACUGACGCUGAUGCUCGAAAGUGUGGGUAUCAAACAGGAUUAGAUACCCUGGUAGUCCACACAGUAAACGAUGAAUACUCGCUGUUUGCGAUAUACAGUAAGCGGCCAAGCGAAAGCGUUAAGUAUUCCACCUGGGGAGUACGCCGGCAACGGUGAAACUCAAAGGAAUUGACGGGGGCCCGCACAAGCAGUGGAGUAUGUGGUUUAAUUCGAAGCAACGCGAAGAACCUUACCAGGUCUUGACAUCGGAUGCAUAGCCUAGAGAUAGGUGAAGCCCUUCGGGGCAUCCAGACAGGUGGUGCAUGGUUGUCGUCAGCUCGUGUCGUGAGAUGUUGGGUUAAGUCCCGCAACGAGCGCAACCCUUAUCCUUUGUUGCCAGCGGUCCGGCCGGGAACUCAAAGGAGACUGCCAGUGAUAAACUGGAGGAAGGUGGGGAUGACGUCAAAUCAGCACGGCCCUUACGUCCGGGGCUACACACGUGUUACAAUGGGGGGUACAGAAGGCAGCUACACGGCGACGUGAUGCUAAUCCCGAAAGCCUCUCUCAGUUCGGAUUGGAGUCUGCAACCCGACUCCAUGAAGCUGGAUUCGCUAGUAAUCGCGCAUCAGCCGCGGCGCGGUGAAUACGUUCCCGGGCCUUGUACACACCGCCCGUCAAGCCAUGAAAGCCGGGGGUACCUGAAGUGCGUAACCGCAAGGAGCGCCCUAGGGUAAAACUGGUGAUUGGGGCU
rnacentral:rRNA from 1 species